CCCUCAAGCUCCCAGGCCUCUGGUAGAGGACCCGAGCUUGGAGGAGAAACCACCCGCGGAGGGUGAGAGGUGCGUUUUAGAAAAUAAGUUCCUGAUUCUCUAGUAACCAUUAAGAGUUCUGAUUCACACAAACCAGUUAGACUCUCCUAAUCAACCUGUCACCUGACUUGAAGAGACCAGUUUGAAUUAAUCACCUGUAGAAAAGACACCUGUCUUGCAUGUGUCAGAGUUAUAUAAUUAUCAUUUGCUUGCACACUAUGUGUGUAAUAUGAUUGUCUCAUUUCUAUCUUUCAGUAAGAAAACAAUGACCUGAAAAGUUCUGAUUACACUAGAAUAUGAUGUUCUUGUUGUUUCUGAUUAAAUGACCCACAUUCAUUUCUGCAACCUUCAGUUUUCAAUGAAAGAAGGCUCCAUGCACUAGGAUGGCAGAACUCCUCGGUGACAGUUUGCGCUGUCACAGACUGAUUCUCCUUCUGCAGAAGUCUAGCAAAAAAAAGCUGUUAUGUGUGUACUUUCAUGCCGUAUGCUUCCAACAAUACAGGUCUCCGCCCAGGCAAUAUCACCAGAAGACAACAAGAUUGCCUGUAUGAACUUAGCACACACCCUGGCUACAACCGAACUAACAGGAGGAAAUUCAACUCCUGGAGCAAAAGGAAUUACUCUGAGCGGUUUUGGGUUCCUCCCAAUAACCCCCGUGGACCAUGUGGCCCAAUGAGAGACCUGUUGCCACUACCACAAGACCCCAUUAAGCUCCCGGAGGUGAUAUCUUUGGUGAGCAUGAAGCCUGGCUUACUUGGACGUUGUGUAUACAACAAUGGCACAGUGAAAGUGGGCAUGGUGCCCUGGCAUCUGUGUAACGUUACCUUGACCUUCUGUGACUACAAUCUUACAGUUCGAUCUAACUACUCAGCUUGUAUGCAGAAAACCAACAGGAUCAGAGGAAGCUGUGGAUUAUUCCUGAGCAAACGGACAUUUGACAUAACAAACCAGACCAAAGGUAAAACCUAGCAGGUUGCAGUACCAUAGUGCCUGGGGACUGAGGAUCCAGGGUCCUAGCUGAUUGGUACUUCCUGUGAGGACACACUGCCUAUGCAUCCCUACCUCCAAACUGGGGAGGCCUUUGUGCUCUGGUCCCUCUGGUUCCACCUGUGUUCUUCAUAAACAGAACUGUCCCAACACCCCACCCUGCACGACGGAAACGUGCCGCACCGGAGUUCCACAUGAACGCCCUACAAAUGACUACCACUACUGGAGUCCCAUGGGAGUUCCGCAUCUGGGGUGGAGGAGCAAAAUUCGGACAGUCACUCCUUCCAUGGAUCGGAGUGGGAGAAAUAAGAGACCACAUCGAGAUCAACAUGUACGCAUUGCUGAGACUCCUUAACACCACCUACAAGUUUCCCAAUGCAUCAGCAGCAGAAACGUCGGCCAUAAGAACUAUGGUUCUGCAAAAUCGACUCGUGCCCGACCUCCUAACUGCAUCAUCAGGAGGUGUGUGCAAAAUGGUUGGAGACACCUGCUGAACUCUCAUCCCGGACGGCACCAGUGAUGGACAGGACAUUUCUACUGCACUGCACGACUUAGCAGAGCUGCAAGCCUAUGUUAAGUCUGCGACUCCUGGCGCCAGUCCCACCAGUGACAUCUGGUCCUGGCUGACCACAGGCCCAUGGUGGCACCUCCUGUUGAAGUUAUUGACCCCUAUACUCAUCGUUUUGUGCCUAUUUUGUCUCUUUACAACAUGCGCUCUGCCUUGUGUCAUGUCCAUGAUCGUAAAGGCUACCAUGCAGGCUUUUGUUCAUUACCAGCUUGUCCAACGAGCUGAAGAGGACCCCUCCCCAUGUGAAUCCUCCUACGUCAGAGGCAUCGUUUGAAUCUCUCACUGAAAGUGCCAAAAGCAAGUGAUGAAAUGAUGUUUUGAUGCCCUGUUCUAAAAAAAUAAAAUAAAAAUAAAAAAACAUUUUUCACGUUUGUACCUUCCCUUUAUCUGUAUUUACUUAUGACGUGUUUGAAAUGAUAAAAAGUGAGGGAUGUUAGAGUUAUAUAAUUAUCAUUUGCUUGCACACUAUAAUCUCCAUAAUAUGUUUGUCUCAUUUCUAUCUUUCAGUAAGAAAACAAUGACCUGAAAAGUUCUGAUUAUACGAGAAUAUGAUGUUCUUGUUGUUUCUGAUUAAAUGACCCACAUUAAUGUCUGCAACCUUCAGUUUUCAAUAAAAGAAGGCUCCAUGCACUAGGAUGGCAGAACUCCUCUGUGAGAGUUCGCGCUGUCACAGACUGAUUCUCCUUCUGCAGAAGUCUAGCAAAAAUGCUCAUCUCCUGUGUGGUUCUUCUCUUUAUUAAGGAAAAAGUCAAAACCCGGACAGCAUGGCCAAAACUAAAGAGCCUUUUAAGGAUUUUAAAGGGAAGAUUGUAGACCUGGGGGGCAUUCCAGAAAGCAGGUUAUGCUAGCUCACACGGCUGGCGGUGGUACUACAUACAUUGUACUACAUACAGAUACAUUGACGUGAAGAAGGGGGGAGUAGCUGGCGUGGGCAUGUUACUGGCUGGAUACUGUGUCCUCAGCUACAUCUGGAGCUACCCUCACAUCAAACUCAGUCGAUGGAGGAAAUACCACUGAAGGACGAGGAAGAGAGGGGUCCACCAUCUUUAUUCAUAUCCAUUCAGUUGAUUUGCUGUGAGAUGUUUAUGGAUUUUUCUGUGGCAUUUAUUUGAAGCCAGGUGGAGAAGGAGUAGGUACAGGGUUGUGCCACUAGAAGGCGCUUCCUGAGUUUUCGGUGAACAGUUCAGUGAGGAGGUGGUGUGCUCUGGGGACCGUUAUUUGACAGUUGUUUGAAGGUUGUUUUGAUCUGCGGAUUUAAGGCGGUUGAAACCUGGCGUGAAGAGUCGUUAAGAGGGUAAACAAACAUAAUAAGGUAAAAAAAAGAAGUUGUGUUGACUGUAAUUGUUGUAAAAGUAUUCAGUUUUAAGAAAUUUGAUGAAAUUAGUAAUUUGAUUUCUCCAAUCGUCGCUGCAUUUUACGUGUGUUUUACAGCAGUGCUCGACGAAGCCAAUGUUGUGACUGGUGAUCAACUUAGCCGUCAUUCCUGUUACAGUUCGGGCCACAGAGCACCUGCUGUAGUUAUUCUUGUGUACUCUUUUUCUUAAAUUUGAUCUUUUUCUCUCUUUUUGUUUUGUUUACUCUUGUUUUCUUUCGUGAUUUUGGAAGAUCGGAAAGUGGCUGGCUAAAAGGAGCAUCUAGAUGGCAUAAUAGAUUCACAUUUUGUUUUUUAUUUUUUUUUUAUCUUCCUGAUUACCAUUUUUUUUAAUCUGAAAUCCUGAGUUACAUUUUUGUUUUGGAAUAAAGAACCCAAAGACAGUUUUGUGUCCUGUGCAGGCUUGAAUUCACCAGGCUACACAAUUUGGUACCAGGAGUGGGGUUCUGCAAAAUUAGCGACUCAGGAGCUUUUGCAAUAUAAUAAAAAAUAUAUUAAAAAAAAAAAAUAAAUUAAAGAGUACACAGAAUAACUAUAGUUGCACCAGCUUAAGUGCCUGGUGAGGAGGAAACCAUUAAAAGGAUCGUCGUGGGAGUGACCACAGCACCGGAGACCUGGCAGGAUCGUCGUGGGAGUGACCACAUCACCGGAGAUCAACUUCCUGCACCCCGGUAGACGACAGCUCACCCUGGGAUGAGGAAGAGUCAUCGGACCAACACAUCUGGACCUGCAACUAUGUAAUACCUGCUGUUGACCUUCGCUCGAACACAUUCAGCCAUGUCGCAGGAAGGCAGUGAGAAUGAGCCAGUCUCCAACAUAGACUCAGAAAUAGACCCCGUCACUGUACUGCAGACGAAGUUAUCAGAACUAAGUUAUAAGCAUGACCAGGCUAUGGCUCAGAUAACCGCUCUGAGUAAUGGAACAAACCGAUCAUACAUUUACAUGCCUAGGGAACGCCCUAUUCAGCCGUUUAGUGGUGAUUCAACGGUCGAUGGCCGCUCUGUUGAUGAAUUUUUAGAUAAAAUCCAGCGAGCUAUUAGAGCUAAAGGUCUGGGAGAGGAAGAUCAGGUGGAUUUUAUUAUGUCACAUCUUAGAGGGUCAGCACUGGAGGAGUUCAAGUUGUGCACAGAAGAUGAGUUUAAGACACCUGAUGAAAUUGUCAACUUACUCAGAGAUGCUUACAGGGAGAAACGCAGUGUAGCACAACUUUUACAGACUUUCUACAGGCGCCACCAUGUAGAGGGUGAAGAUUUUUUUGAAUAUUCCCACGCACUGUCACAGAUCCUUCGCUCAGUUUUAAAAAAAAAAACAGAUGCAAUUGUGGAUGCAAAGAUGGCAGUCAGAGACCAGUUUGUUGAAUGAAUAAGAGAUACCGCACUUAGAAGGGAGCUCCGCAGAAUGCUUAAAGACAAACCUGUCAUGGUGCCUCUGUCAGGUUCCGCCCCCCUCCCCUCUCUGCUUGGCCUAAUUCACCGCAGCUGCCGCCACUCAACUCAUCAGCCUGCCAGACCUUCCUAAGGAGCUCCAGGACCAGUAUUCAACGAGAGUUUGUUGCCUCUAAUGGAAUUUCCUAGUCCACGAGUGGACGGUUAAGCGGACGCGCCGAGCAGAAUUCCAUCCACACUCACCUCCUUCAGUGGAGCGCUGUUGGAGUCCACGCCAACUCUCAAGCCACGGUCGGUCCCUCAAGCUACGUUUCCAGUCCUCGUCUGGCCUCGGAUCCACGGACCCCCUCCAGCCACGUCGCCUCCCUGCAGCAUCAAGACAACCUCACCAGCUGAACUAAUAAACCCAUUACUUACCACUACUCACCUCCUGUCAUCCUUCCGGGUUCCAGCAUCUGGGUCUGCCAAGCCUAGUCAGUCAUGACAAAACCAGAUUCCUCACUUUGUAACAAUUCAGUAGGAUAACUAGUCCUGUUACUAAUAAAUAAAUACACGAAAAGGGGUUCAACACAAAAGAGCGUCUUAAUGCGGAGAAAUAAUUUGCAGAUAACAGAAAAUUUCCGACACAACCCGUGCAUAAAUCAACAGCCAAAAUUAAGGUAUAGUCAGUUCAAACAAUAUGAUCAUCGUUAUAUUCAAAAACAAACAUUCAGGUGAUUAGGCGUGCUCAGCCUUAGUCAUUCAUGGAGUUCAAUUCUUCCGGAAAGUCAAUAAUUCCAAAAAAUGAGGAGAGUCAAUAAAGAAAGGAAAAAAAAUAUUGCCCUAAAGCGAUCGCUAUUUUCUGGUAUACCAGUAACUAAGAAAAUAUGGUUGGAUCUCACCAGCGUUCUUCCAGGAUCGCUGACGUGGCCUCUCGCAGCAAACUCUCCUGCUCCCGAUCAUGAAACACGUCUGCUGUGGGAACCGCGCCUCCCGGUAAUGCUUCCUCCGUCGAUCUAAUGAUCCGGCUCCGGUGGGUUUCUUACUUUUUCCGUUAAAGCCAUCAGCAUCCGAAAAAGUCAGAGAAUUCACUCCAAACAUCCACCUGUGGAGCUGUCAUUCGCGGCCUGCAGGUGACAGGGGAGAUCCUCGUGCUACACCCCUCAUCGGCGUUUUCGAGGAAGUCAGCUGGGCCCGCUGUCUCGUCACCACCCCCUUAUAUAGUCUUUUGAUGACGUUCCCCAUUAUUUAGUUUUGAUUCUUUUUUGUUGGACACAAA